rnacentral:lncRNA from 13 species
AUGCUGCUUUCUCAAGGUGUCUGUCUGAUGGUUGACAGUGUGUGUCCGUCCCAUUUGGGACAACGCCACUGUGUGAUGACUGAGAUGACACUUCCCCAACACUACAGCUGGACUACAUGUCCAUGUCCACUGUUACUGUUCUCUUUGCUCUACUUAAGCAGCUCUGAAACCACUCUGUUCAGUGUCCCUUCACCCCAAACUUAGUCGAUGGAAACUGGCUGUACAUACUUCAUCACCUCCUUUUUGGAUUUGAUUUAUUUUCUGGAACAUAAUCUAUAUAAAAUGUGUUUUAUUGAUGUUGUACAUGAAUAUAUUCAUACGUACUGUAUAUUGCGUAAAUAAAUGAAAAGCAAUUACUGAGCCAUCUUUGUUGUUGUUUUAAAAUAGUUGAAUAACUUUUAACACGUUUGUCUUUUCAGUAUUUAUUUGUUCCUACCAUACACAGCACAGGUCCAGUAUGGAUGAGUCUCUAUACACUCCCCUUAGCAGGUUGGGCUCAGUUCCAUUCCAACGACCAACCCAGUGAAUGAAAAACAUUUUAAAAUCCUCAUAAGCAUUGAAAGUGAUGGACAAUGAAUUCCUUUCCUGAAUAGACUUGAGUGGAAAUGGAAUUGACUUCAGCCCUUCCAUAGCUUCAAUUGAAAUAUACAAUAGAAUAAAUAGCCCUCAUAAUUGAGGGCUCAGAGCCCUGCUACGAAGUAACAUUUUCCACAUAUAGGACAAUUGACACGCAUAGAACUGACCUUGGUACAGUACAAGGUGGAAAAUGUACAUUUUCAUCCUUUUAGUGGAUUUCAGGUUUUAAGACUCACCAAGUAUAUCAUGUCUAUAGACCAGGGAUUCCCAAAUGGCAGGUGAGGGCUGAAAUCUUUUGGGUUGUGGCUGGAACAACUUGUUCUAUUCUAGCUUUAGUCAAAAAUGUUGAGUCAGUCAAAAUGUGUCUCUAUUCCUAAAGGUUUUUGUGCGUCAUAAAUGCUUGAGAACCACAGUUGUAAACAGCAUAGUGCUGAGGGAAGCUUGGUCAAAUGUUCGCUCAUAUCCACACCUCAGACACUCAGGUACUCUGGUGUAUUUUCUCUAUUUUCUUGGGAAACAACAUUACCAGUGAUGAGUACCACAGUACAUCUGUAUGGACUUGCAAAUACANNNNNNNNNNAAAAUCCUCAUAAGCAUUGAAAGUGAUGGACAAUGAAUUCCUUUCCUGAAUAGACUUGAGUGGAAAUGGAAUUGACUUCAGCCCUUCCAUAGCUUCAAUUGAAAUAUACAAUAGAAUAAAUAGCCCUCAUAAUUGAGGGCUCAGAGCCCUGCUACGAAGUAACAUUUUCCACAUAUAGGACAAUUGACACGCAUAGAACUGACCUUGGUACAGUACAAGGUGGAAAAUGUACAUUUUCAUCCUUUUAGUGGAUUUCAGGUUUUAAGACUCACCAAGUAUAUCAUGUCUAUAGACCAGGGAUUCCCAAAUGGCAGGUGAGGGCUGAAAUCUUUUGGGUUGUGGCUGGAACAACUUGUUCUAUUCUAGCUUUAGUCAAAAAUGUUGAGUCAGUCAAAAUGUGUCUCUAUUCCUAAAGGUUUUUGUGCGUCAUAAAUGCUUGAGAACCACAGUUGUAAACAGCAUAGUGCUGAGGGAAGCUUGGUCAAAUGUUCGCUCAUAUCCACACCUCAGACACUCAGGUACUCUGGUGUAUUUUCUCUAUUUUCUUGGGAAACAACAUUACCAGUGAUGAGUACCACAGUACAUCUGUAUGGACUUGCAAAUACAGUGUACUGUAACAUAAGUCAUUCC